UAUACAUGCAGUCGUACGCUUCUUUUUCCACCGGAGCUUGCUCCACCGGAAAAAGAGGAGUGGCGAACGGGUGAGUAACACGUGGGUAACCUGCCCAUCAGAAGGGGAUAACACUUGGAAACAGGUGCUAAUACCGUAUAACAAUCGAAACCGCAUGGUUUUGAUUUGAAAGGCGCUUUCGGGUGUCGCUGAUGGAUGGACCCGCGGUGCAUUAGCUAGUUGGUGAGGUAACGGCUCACCAAGGCCACGAUGCAUAGCCGACCUGAGAGGGUGAUCGGCCACAUUGGGACUGAGACACGGCCCAAACUCCUACGGGAGGCAGCAGUAGGGAAUCUUCGGCAAUGGACGAAAGUCUGACCGAGCAACGCCGCGUGAGUGAAGAAGGUUUUCGGAUCGUAAAACUCUGUUGUUAGAGAAGAACAAGGAUGAGAGUAACUGUUCAUCCCUUGACGGUAUCUAACCAGAAAGCCACGGCUAACUACGUGCCAGCAGCCGCGGUAAUACGUAGGUGGCAAGCGUUGUCCGGAUUUAUUGGGCGUAAAGCGAGCGCAGGCGGUUUCUUAAGUCUGAUGUGAAAGCCCCCGGCUCAACCGGGGAGGGUCAUUGGAAACUGGGAGACUUGAGUGCAGAAGAGGAGAGUGGAAUUCCAUGUGUAGCGGUGAAAUGCGUAGAUAUAUGGAGGAACACCAGUGGCGAAGGCGGCUCUCUGGUCUGUAACUGACGCUGAGGCUCGAAAGCGUGGGGAGCAAACAGGAUUAGAUACCCUGGUAGUCCACGCCGUAAACGAUGAGUGCUAAGUGUU
rnacentral:rRNA from 1 species